UACGAAGGGUGCAAACGUUGCUCGGAAUCAUUGGGCGUAAAGCGCACGUAGGCGGCUUCGCAAGUCGGAUGUGAAAUCCCUCGGCUCAACCGAGGACGUGCAUCCGAAACUGCGGAGCUUGAGUACUGAAGAGGAUCGCGGAAUUCCCGGUGUAGAGGUGAAAUUCGUAGAUAUCGGGAGGAACACCAGUGGCGAAGGCGGCGAUCUGGGCAGUUACUGACGCUGAGGUGCGAAAGCGUGGGGAGCAAACCGG
rnacentral:rRNA from 1 species